UCGGGGCCGGGGCAGGCCUGGUACGUGGUGUUCUCGGUGCGGAUCAUCACGAUGGUGGCCUUGCAGUUGAAGUAGUCCGCCACGUCCUUGGCCCCCAGGUCCGACUCGUCGGCCGUCUGCAGCGUGAUCCACUCCCCGUCCGUGCCUGCACAACCACACCGCCACGCGGUCUCCCCUCGGCCCCGUCCUCGCCGGACCGCCUCCCCCGCUCUACACCAGGGACCGUCCCUUGCGAGGGAUCGCAACCAACCACAACCCCACAGACCUGGUUCAAGCUGCUACUGACCUUUAAACAGGGCAAGGCCCGGGGCGGAACGCACCUCCGCCGGAACUACCCGCGGAGCGCGUGGAGAUGCUGGUGGUCUCCUGGUGAGCGCCGUAGUUGUCGAACCAGCCGCGCAGCCGGUGGGCCUCGGGGAUGUCUGGGUUCACCUGCAGCGCGCUGGUCUGCAUCAGCGACACCGAGCGCCCGCCCCCGAAGUCGUUGAUCUUGCCGCACUUGAUGGCCACCACCGGCUGCAGGCUGCCGUCAAACUCCUCCGCCUGGGCGCCCCACAGCGACACCGUCACCUGUCGGGCCCCACGUGGUUACGUCAGCGCGGCUCGCUCCCGUGACCCCUGGUGUACCCGACACACCCUUGGUAACCACCGACUCUACUGUACCGCAUGCUGCACACGCAGAAGGAAUACCAACUCAGAUAAGUUAAAAAUUAUAUUCAUACCACAGAACCCUGGAUUUAACGAAGUAGCAAUUUCUCGAAUUCAUUCUAAGAAACCGUGCUAAAGUCGAAAAUAUAAAUAAUAUGGUUUUCAAACUGUAAGGGGAAAAGUCCCUGGAAACAAAACACCCCCCCCCCCCCCCCCCCCCCCCACCACCGAAGGCCUGAACGCUACUCACUGCUGUGUUGGACUGAUCCACGAGCGUGAUGUCACGCUUCUUCACCUCCCGGUUGGUCGUCCUGGCCACGAACGUGUUGACGUCGCCCGCGCUCUUGCACACGCCGAUGACGUCUGCAACCACCAAUCACAUCUGGUUACAUACAGGAGACGUGCUUACAUGAGCUCUUCAUAACAUACUGGUAUCACAGACGAACAUUAACGUCUGUGCCCAAUGUCUUGGCAGGUGAGAAUUCUGAAUGCAGGGAGAUCCUCACUUGAGAAACUUUUGAGGUAAGUCAAUAUUUUUUGUAAAAGUUUGUACAAGAUGACCCUAAUGUCAGCUACAAUGAUCCACGGAGUUGGUAACUUGUAGUGCUGGGCGCCAAGAUGUUUCGUUUUUAAACAUUUUGAAUACUGCACUUGUAAGUAUUUGCGAUCAUCACAUAGCAUGUAAGAAUAAAGGAGUAGAAACAAAAUAAACCUAAUGGUUUUUGUUUGAACAUAAUAAAAAUAAAAAAAUCUUAUUAAUGCAUUUAUAUAGAAAGUAUUUUAAUAAAUCUUAUCUAAAAAAGCUGCUAACCUUAAUUAUUUCACAUAUGAGAACAUUAAAUCCAUCCAGUCAAGCGGUUCUUCACAACUUAGUUUCAAGUUGAACAUGAAAUCUUCUGUUCUUGGGAAAGAGAUAUGCACAUCGGAGCAUCUUAAAAUGUCCACUUUGUAAUGGACUUGGAAUAUAAUUGCAUGUUACCAUUUAAUUUAUUUAUUUAUUUCAGAUUUUUGUCAGAUAUAACUCAAUUAAACACAACACAACAACUUUCAAACAUUUGUUUAUGCAUAGUAACAGAAAAAGUUACAAAUGUGUCCAUUGCAAUGUUUGGAUAGUAUUUUCUAGCAUCAACCCUAACAUUACCACAAGAUUUUUAUUUUUUAUUUUUUGUUUAUUUCUGGGGAGCAACACAAUUUUUAUCAGUGCAGGAACGUAGCUGAUUUUGUAAUUGCAUUCUAGGGAUGUGCGAGUACCCGAUAUUUUCGGAUACGGUUCGAAUCCACAAUUACCCGAACCCGGAAUCGUUGUACGUACAUGGAUUCGAACAGUAUUACGAAUAUUCACAAAAGUUAUAAAUUAAUUUAAUACGGCUCAAAAAUACUAACAGUGAAAAAUAAAAUUAGGCUAAUAUUACGUAAUUGUUUAUAAUAUGAUGUAUCAAAGAAAGAUACGUAAAUUAAAUAAUUAACACAGUGACAUUAAAAGAAUUUAGAGAUUUUGAGAGCUUAAACUAUAAUUACGAAUUUUGUCGUUUAGCAAACUAUAAACUAAAAACAAUUACAUACCUACAAGAAAAAAACGUCUUGGCUAUUUAUUGGAGAAAAAAUGGUUUUGUUUACUGAAAAGUUUAUAAAACUGAGAUUUCCCUGUGGCGUGCAGUUUAUUAUGAUUGAGAUGGAGAAUCGAAUACGUACGUUUUGGUUUUCAUAUUUUAAAGUGUUUGUUAUUAAUUAAAUUUACAUAAUUAUAAACAUUUCAAUCUCAGUGUAAUAAAUAAUAGCCAGUAGUUACAGUUAGAAAAAAGAGAACACACAUUAUUUUUAAAUUAAUUAAAUUAUUUUUAAUUAUUCUGUGCUUAAUAUUUGGAAUCGGAUUCAUAUCUCAAAUAUUGCCAGGGAUUCGAAUCGGAUUUGAACCAAACUGAAAAUCAAGGAUUCACACAUCCCUAUCGCAUCCUGAAGGUUUCCAGUGGGGGAGUCGGCAUCGUACCGACGAUGGUGUUCCCGUCGGCCUCAGCCAGCUUGUUGAUCGGCACGAAGUUGAACGAGGUGGUGGGGAUGUCCUUGUCAUCCUCGCACGGCGUCACCGCCGUGCCGUGGUUGAACGUGAUCUCGUACUCGUGCUUGAUGUUGCUGAACUGCUUGUUGGCCGCCUUCACCGUGAAGCCCUUGAAGACGUACACCUGGUUCACCUGCCGACACAGCCCACCAGCCGGGUCUGAACUCUCGAGCCAGCUUCCCAGCUACAUCACAACUGUGCCCGGCUAAGACGACAACUGUUCCUUGCACUAAACACUUUUCAUGCAACUCUACGAUUAUUGCAGGUAGAUGUGUGCGUACGUUUAAGGCCAUCAAUUGAUUUGAAACUACUGACGAUAAUUACUCAAUAAAAACGUCUAGAACGAA